rnacentral:rRNA from 1 species
AAACCAACAGGGAUUGCCCUAGUAACGGCGAGUGAAGCGGCAACAGCUCAAAUUUGAAAUCUGGCUCUCGGGCCCGAGUUGUAAUUUGUAGAGGAUGACUUUGAUGCGGUGCCUUCCGAGUUCCCUGGAACGGGACGCCAUAGAGGGUGAGAGCCCCGUCUGGUUGGAUGCCAAAUCUCUGUAAGUCUCCUUCGACGAGUCGAGUAGUUUGGGAAUGCUGCUCUAAAUGGGAGGUAUAUGUCUUCUAAAGCUAAAUACCGGCCAGAGACCGAUAGCGCACAAGUAGAGUGAUCGAAAGAUGAAAAGCACUUUGAAAAGAGAGUUAAAAAGUACGUGAAAUUGUUGAAAGGGAAGCGUUUAUGACCAGACUUGGGCUUGGUUAAUCAUCUGGGGUUCUCCCCAGUGCACUUUUCCAGUUCAGGCCAGCAUCAGUUUUCGCCGGGGGAUAAAGACUUCGGGAAUGUGGCUCCUCUCGGGGAGUGUUAUAGCCCGUUGUGUAAUACCCUGGCGGGGACUGAGGUUCGCGCUUCUGCAAGGAUGCUGGCGUAAUGGUCAUCAACGAC